UACGGGGGGAGCAAGCGUUGUUCGGAUUUACUGGGCGUAAAGGGCGCGUAGGCGGCCACCGCAAGUCGACUGUGAAAUCUCCGGGCUUAACCCGGAAAGGUCAGCCGAUACUGCGGGGCUAGAGUGCAGAAGGGGCAACUGGAAUUCUCGGUGUAGUGGUGAAAUGCGUAGAUAUCGAGAGGAACACCUGCGGCGAAGGCGGGUUGCUAGGCUGACACUGACGCUGAUGCGCGAAAGCCAGGGGAGCAAACGGG
rnacentral:rRNA from 1 species